GGCAGGGAGAGCGCAGGGAAGGAGGGAGAAGGGGAGGGAGGCAGGGAGAGCGCAGGGAAGGAGGGAGACGGGGAGGCAGGCAGGGAGAGCGCAGGGAAGGAGGGAGACGGGGAGGCAGGCAGGGAGAGAAGCAGGCAAGCAGAGAGAGAGGCAGGGAUGGAGAUAGGCAGGCAGGGAGAGAGGCAGGCAGGGAGAGAGGGAGGCAGGGAUGGAGAGAGGCAGGCAGGGAGAGAAGCAGGCAAGCAGAGAGGGAGGCAGGGAUGGAGAGAGGCAGGCAGGGAGGGAAGCAGGCAAGCAGAGAGGGAGGCAGGGAUGGAGAGAGGCAGGCAGGGAGAGAAGCAGGCAAGCAGAGAGGGAGGCAGGGAUGGAGAUAGGCAGGGAGGGAAGCAAGCAGGCAGAGAGGGAGGCAGGGAUGGAGAUAGGCAGGCAGUGAGGGAAGCAAGCAGGCAGGCAGAGAGGGAGGCAGGGAUGGAGAUAGGCAGGCAGGGAGAGAAGCAAGCAAGCAGGCAGAGAGGGAGGCAGGGAUGGAGAUAGGCAGGCAGGGAGGGAAGCAGGCAGGCAGAGAGGGA
ensembl:lncRNA